GCAGAGGUCAAGGGCUGUGCUGACGCCCCCCAUGUCUGCGUGUUGACAGCAGACUUACUGGGGACACGCUGUAGAGCUCCGAUGAUGGCUGUUGGCCGAAUGGAUGAAUGGCUUCAUUAACUUCACUGCAACACGCAGGAGUCCUUGAUCUCCCCCCUUGAAAGGUGGGUCCCUGCCUUCUUCAGAUGACCUUGAAUAACACUGUCCUCUGCACUUCUGGCCGCCACGGAAGAGGCAUGACUGCUGUGAGUCUGGGGCCUUGGAACCAUUUUAGACCAAGGCAGGAAAAAUAAACAGAUGGGCGAGAGGGAGAAACUGAGUUUCAACAAAGAAAUUGCACCGAACCCAGAACUAAACAGGACCGGGCUGCCAGAGGGUGCUUUUCUGUGCUGAAUCAUGGGACCUUCUUGCUGACCAGAGCAGAGAAGAAAAGUCUCCUGUGUUGCACGGCUGUGUUUGGUGUACAAAUAACACCUGGGGUCUGUGGUGAUGGGUCCUUAGGAAUAGAGAGAAAGAGAAAUGGCCUUGGAAUUUAGUGGCCUGAAGACAUAGUUUAAAAAUUCAUUUCCGGACCUCAACCUACGGCCUUUGACAGAAAGAUGGGUUUGUUGUCUGCUGUGAAAUAAAAGCCAUCUGAGGCUUGUGGGAGCAUGAUGAGCACCAGAGUCCGGCUUAGAAAUCACGCUGAUGGCCCAGAAAACUCAGCCAACCACAGAUACCAUUGCUGCUUCUAGAAGCCCAGGACACUGGCACUGUGAGGCAAUGCUGGAGAUUCGUCCUAUCCCUGGUCUCUUGCAAACAUUUUAAAUUGAAACCUUUAAUAGUCAGCAUGAGAGCACUCGGAUUCAAUUAUAUUCAUCUCUGAAGAUGUCCUGAUAUCGCCUACUUGUUUAUAAAAAUUAAUC
ensembl:lncRNA LINC00598 long intergenic non-protein coding RNA 598